GACGAACGCUGGCGGCGUGCCUAAUACAUGCAAGUCGAACGCUUUUUCUUUCACCGGAGCUUGCUCCACCGAAAGAAAAAGAGUGGCGAACGGGUGAGUAACACGUGGGUAACCUGCCCAUCAGAAGGGGAUAACACUUGGAAACAGGUGCUAAUACCGUAUAACACUAUUUUCCGCAUGGAAGAAAGUUGAAAGGCGCUUUUGCGUCACUGAUGGAUGGACCCGCGGUGCAUUAGCUAGUUGGUGAGGUAACGGCUCACCAAGGCAACGAUGCAUAGCCGACCUGAGAGGGUGAUCGGCCACACUGGGACUGAGACACGGCCCAGACUCCUACGGGAGGCAGCAGUAGGGAAUCUUCGGCAAUGGACGAAAGUCUGACCGAGCAACGCCGCGUGAGUGAAGAAGGUUUUCGGAUCGUAAAACUCUGUUGUUAGAGAAGAACAAGGAUGAGAGUAAAACGUUCAUCCCUUGACGGAUCUAAC
rnacentral:rRNA from 1 species